rnacentral:misc_RNA from 1 species
UCUCCGUAGGUGAACCUGCGGAGGGAUCAUUACUGAGUGAGGGUUUAACCGCCCGACCUCUAACCCUUUGUGAAUCGUACUCGUUGCUUCGGGGGCGACCCUGCCGUUUCGACGGCGAGCGCCCCCGGAGGCCUUCAAACACUGCAUCUUUGCGUCGGAGUUUGACACAAAUGAAACAAAACUUUCAACAACGGAUCUCUUGGUUCUGGCAUCGAUGAAGAACGCAGC